GAGGCCAAACACUUAAAUUUUGGCCUUUUCCACAGAUCAUUCCAGCAUCAGCUCCAGGGUUUGGGGUGACUACAUUGUGCGUACAUGCUCAGCGAGGCCAUGAACUCCUCGGCUUGCUGCGGCUACUGAGUGCUGGGGUUGUCGGUGUGGAACUGCGCGCGAGCCUGUGAGAGUGUGCCUACGCUGCCUGCCCUUCCUGCGACCGGUUGAAACACAUGGGAAGAUAGGAGUGGGCAGACGAGUUGAGAAAUGCUUACUGACGUAAUUAAAAUGGAGAGACAAAUGCUAUUCUCAGCU